rnacentral:lncRNA from 1 species
CAAAAUUUAGAUUUAGUCUAGGCUUAGAUUCAAAAUCUAGGCCUAGAUCCAGGCUAGACUACUUUGUUUUGUUGCCGGUAGGCAGUGCGGUAGCCAUUGUUUUGUGUUAAUAAUAACAAUCAACGAGAUCAUUGCUUUAACUUCAACAUUUUAUGCUAGAAAAUACGACUCUAAGGUGUCAGACCGAAGACCAGGUUAGAUCUUGAUUAAGAUCUUGAUGUAUCAUUUAGUCUACAUGAUACCAGAUCUAGGGUAGAUGUAGACCUAGUCUUCACACUGCACCCUUUGUGCAGGACUAACUUAGAUAAGUUAGGAUUUAGAGUUGGUCCCUGAGUCAUAGAUGUAGUUGACUACUUGUAUUUUUGUGACAUCUAAAUUAACAUGAGUUAGAUCUAGUCUACGUCUAACAGUAAAAAGUUAGAUUUUAGAUGUAGAAUGUUAUGUAGGUCUAGUAUUAGUGGACUCGUGUAUCAAGCUCUCCUUUUUUUUUUUCUUUCGGAGUCAGAGAUGAAGUGGACCUGGACAUUUGAGUCAUAUCCAAGAAAUAGACCUCUAGUCUAAAACUUCUCUCUCACCGUGUCUUCAACGUCUUGGACUAACUUCUCAUCCUACCUUGGCCCGAGGAAAGGGUUUGGAUCUGCAUAAUGUAAUCCAAUUCAAGGUACUGCAUAUUUUACUGUGCUAAGUGGCCUUUUGAUGUGAUUUUCUUAGCAAAGUUUGAACACCGACAUUAAAACGGUUGCAAAGUAAAGAUCUGUGGUAUCUACAUGAACUGCAAACUUAUGGCAUCUGGACUUUCAUACCUAAGGUGUUUUCCAUCUCUUCAAGUUGAAAAGACUGCAGAGCUUGAAUCCCCUGCAACAUUAUGCUUCAUAUGGAACAUCAGCCAGCCUACAGAUACAAGCUCCCUUUUCCAGCUCUAAGCAAGAGGGACCACAAUGCUAAACAGAUCGUGGAAUAGUCGCUUUCUCAUUAAUUACGACUUCCAGUGAAACAGAUUUUCAAAUGAAUUCAUCUGAAGAUAUUAAAAGUGCUCCAGUCUGUGUACUACAAUUUGCCAUCGAGUAUGAGAUUAUUGGUUUGACAAUAUUUCAUCAAGUAAUUUUUUAAAGGAAGUAAACAAAUUAAUGAUACUUCCAACAAUUCUAUUCUUUUAAAUAGAAUCGUAGAAUCUUGGAAAAGAAAGAAGAAAACAACUAAUUACAGUUGAAAGAUAAAACUAAAGUAAUAAUCCAUAUUAAGUUUAAUAGCUCUGCAAUUUAAGCCUGCACUUUCGAGAAAUAUCUCGCUAAGUGUUGUUGCUGAUCUAAAAAGCUAUGAUUCUUUCAUGGAAGCUGUUGUUUCUAAACUUACAUUACCUAGAUAAAUCCGUUCAUGGUGAUAAAUCUUAAAAUAUCAAAUUGGAAAUUUUAAAGUAGGAAUUCAUCUGAGCAGCAGUGGGCCAAUUUGAAGGCCUAUUUGGAACUCUUAGUAGAGUUUCUGUUGGCAAGAAUUUGUGUCAAUAAUUACCUGUUGAUACCUGAAUUGGAUAUUCUUAGCAAUUGCACAAGAACAAAUACAAAAGAAAUAACCGAACAUUGUAAUUGCAGUGAAAACAGAUUUGUCCGGCAGGAAAUAAUAUACCAACUCGGAUUCAGGUUGUCCUUAAACAAUUCUCAAAGCUGAUAGAAAAAAAAGAUAAUUAACUUUAUAUAGACAAACUGUUGUAUCAAGAAAAACCCAUUUUCAUCAACUGCAUGACCUUACAUGGCAAUGUGUAUUACCCUUAUAUUAACAACCAUAUUUGUUAUAGCAAUUAUUACGACAAAUCUUACUCUUUUAAUCUCCACUAAUGUACCUCGACUAGACAGUUGCAGAUAUUAGCUGCAAUAGUUUUAACAACCAGUUGUCACUUAAAGAGCAGUACUUUCAUUUGUGUCAUUGGAAAUGUUCUUAUUGUAUCCCUUGAAAUGAAUUGCUAUUGCUCAUCAUUUAUAAAAUGUAGAUUUUCAUGGAUUAAAGCAUAAGAAUAGCUAUAAGACUUUAAAGCUUGAAAAA